rnacentral:lncRNA from 1 species
ACUGCACCGGACUUACCCACGAACUAUCUGAAAUAGGAUAGAUGAUUCCUGCAUCUAACAGUUUGAUCACUUCCUUUCUCACAACUUCUUUCAUGAUAGGAUUGAGCCUUCUUUGCCCAUCAAUUCAGGUCUUUCACAUUCUUUUAAAAUGAUUUUAUGCAUGCAAAAAGAAGGGCUUAUACCUCGAAUGUCAGCUAUGGUCCAACCAAUUGCUUUCUUCAACUUCUUUAAAAGAACAAUCAGUUAUUCCUCUUGAUCUUUCGUUAGUUCUGCUGAAAUAAUCACAGGCAAAGUAAAAUAGUCACCUAAAUAAAUAUAUUUCAAAUGGGAAGGAAGUACCUUUAGUUGAAGUGUAGGUUGUUCUUCGAUUGACAACUUGGGUUGCACAAAUUCUCUGACUUCUAACUCUAAUAGUUCAAACCGUGUGGAUUGAAUAAAAUUUCUCGGAUUGGCUUCCAUCAAAGCCAUGUUUUUUCACCUUCUUCAUCCUCCAAAGGGUCAAACUCUAAGGCUUUCUCCAAUGGAUCUUCCUCAAAAUUGCUUUCCAUAGAAACCAAGGUUUCUAUCUCUUCCAUAAUUGAACACCCCUCUAUCGGAUCGAGAAAUUUCAUCACUUUAAGAAUGUUUAAGGUUACCUGAUCAUUUUGAACUCGCAUGGUGAGUUCUCCUUUCUGCACAUCAAUUAAGUAUUUAGAGGAGUUGCUAGGACGACCCUUACGGUAGCUAAGUACUAGAUUUCAUCUAUUGAGAGGAUCUUGGAUAAUUUGUACUAUACCCUAGAACAUAAACUUAAGGGUACAGUGUCUCUUUUGAGAAAUGAGGCAUUUUGUUGGUGGAAAUCUAUCAUGGAAGGUACCAAGCCAAAGAAGAUAACUUUGGAUUAUUUCAAAACUGCCUUUCGUAAAAAAAUAUGGGAUCGAGGUAUGUUGAAGCCCGAAAACUUGAUUUUAUUAAAUUGAAGCAAAGGGACCAAACCGUAUCCGAGUAUGAGGCUGAGUUAUUAAGCCUGAACCGGUAUGCACAAGGGGUGGUAGCUUUAGAGUAGAACAACUGUGUUAGAUUUGAGAAUAGGCUGAGGUAUGACCUCAAGGUCCAAGUUGUCAUAUUGUAGGAGAGAGUCUUCGAGACUUUAGUAGAGAAGGUGAAGAUCCUUGAAGAGGUGAAAUAUGAUAAGCAAGAUAGAAGAGAUAAGACCAAGAAUCUAGUGAAGAGAGAUUUUGGUCUGGGAAAUUCUAAUCCAUGCCCAGUGAAGAGGGUCCGUGAAAAUAGACCAUGUCAGUACCCUGCUAUUGCAAGUAACAGAAAUUAGACCCGCAAUUAUGCUUACUGUGGGAAGUCUCACAAUAGGAAAUGUUGAAAGAGCAAGGGAGCAUGUUCUAGGUGUGGGGCGUGGUAAUAACAAAAUGAUAAUAGUGGGUAGAGGACAAAUGGUCAAUGUACGAACUGUACUAAUGUUAGACAGCCCACCUUGGUUUAUGCAGUAAGGCACCAAGAGGACGGUAAUACGGCUGAUGUUAACGCAGGUACUUUUAUAAUAAAUUUUGUACAAUACUUUGCUUUGAUAGAUAUAGGAUCAACUCAUUCUUAUGUUUCCUGCUCUAUGACUGAUAAAUUGGGAGUUCUAGUGGAAAUUAAUGUUAGCGGCAUAACUGUACUCAGUCCCCUAGGAUAAUUUAUGUAUGUGAAUAAAAUAUUUAGGAGAUGUCCUUUAGAAAUUUAGGGUGAGUUGUUUCCAGCUGACUUGAUGGAGCUGCCAUUCAGUGAAUUUGAUCUUAUUUUGGGCAUGGAUUGGUUGAAGGAGCAUCGAGUUAGCCUUGAUUGUGAUACAAAGUUGGUUACUCUGAGGACUUUAACCAGAAAGGAGAUAGUUAUGAUCUAUAAGCACCAAUAUUACUUGUCCAAUGUGAUCUCUACUUUGGUAGCCGAGAAAUUAGUUCAUAAAGGGUACGAUGCAUAUUUGGCGUACAUUCUGGAUAUGAAAGCUGAUGACUCAAUGUUAGAAAGCAUCUGUGUAGUAAAAGAGUUUCCUGACGUCUUUCUAAAAGACUUGCCCGAUCUACCUCCAAAACGCGAGGUUGAUUUUGGGAUUGAGUUGCUGCCUAGGAUAGCUCCGAUGUUUAUUGCUCCCUACUAAAUGGCACCUAAGAAUCUUAAAGCAUAGUUGCAAGAGUUUUUAGACCAUGGUUUUAUCUUGGGGAGCUCCAGUUCUACUCGUGAGGAAGAAGGAAAAUGGUAUGCAUUGAGUGUUAACUCGGUCUUCCUGGAAUUUUCACAACAUUCGUGUUGACAAAAUGUCUAACCUUUUGCCCCGGUAAAACUUCACUCCUUUAUUUCUCCUUCCUCAACCUACACCUGCCAAAGCACCAAACACAACCCUACCACAAGCAAUUAAAAGUACCUAAUAUUUCAACAAAGUCCAAGCUCCUAAUGGAAUGAUGAAGAUAUGAAUGAAAUGUCCUAAAAUGCAACUAAAUGUACCUUGGUGCAAGUAAUUAGCUAGGCCUUAAAGCAUGAAAUAUAAAUUUUUUCAAGAGUUAUCACACCCUCAAACCUGAGUUAUUACUUUUCCUCAAGCCAAAUACAUAUGAAUGCAUGAAUCCAUAAAUUUUUACCCUUCCAUAUAACUAUCUUAUACUAUUAAUCUAUUAAAAGAACAACAUAUACAUCAGUUCUCAGUAGUCUUCUUUCUCUAAAAGCUUGAUUGAAUGUCAAAGGUUCAUUUCAAAAAAGGUAGUGUAGAAAAUUUGUCCCUAAAAAUAAAAUUUCCUAAAUACUCAUGUAUGCUUUCUGGCCAUAACAAAUAUCUCCUAAUGCACUCAGUUCAUUUGUAACCUAAACUAUAACAGCCUAUUUUUAGUGAAAUCGAGACCACAAAUCCUACGUGAAAAUAUUUAUAUUAUUAUUUUAAUGUCUAUGGCAUGUUAAUAGUGUCAUUUGCAUGCUUAAUUUAGUGAGAAUGGCUAAAUUGUAAAAGGUGUAAAAGUAGAGUUCUAGUAGCUAAAGGUAUCAAAUAGCUAUAGAACUUUAAUGUGAGAGUAAUUAGGUGGUAAUUAGACCAUUUAUGUGGUAGUGGAAAUUUAUGGGUUUGGUUUUAUUAAAAUUAGGGAUAUUUUUAAAGGUUAAAAAUGUAAUUAAGUAAAAAAAGGUUAAUAUAAUAAAAACAAAAGAAAGAAAUAAGAUAUCUUCCUAUCUUCAUCCUUAGCUGAAAUAUUCAAGGGAAACCAUAGCUAGGUUUCAGUCAAGCUAUAUUCACCGGUAUGUAAGUGGUUUUUGUUUCGCUUUAAUGAUUUCUAUGUUUUUGAAGUUGUUGUAGCUUAAUCUAGCUAGCCCAGGGACUAAUUUGCAAAACUAUUAAAGGUUUAAGGUUUUACCAUGAAUUUUCUUACAUGAUUUAAGAAGUUUGAUGAAAUAUUAUGAGUCCUUGUGGUUAAAUAAACAAUUUUUGUAAAGUGAUUUUUGAUGAAUUUGUCAUUUAGGGACUUAUUUGUAAAAGUAGUAAAAUACCAUGAUAAAUUUGUGAAAUGUCGAUUUGUAUGAGGUUGUAUGAGCCCCUAGGCAAAUCAACUAGCAUGAUAUGUGGAUGAAAUUGCAUAAAUGAAAAUUUACGAGCUUAAGGACUAAAUUAUAAAGAAGUUAAAAUAUUAGGGGCAAAAAUGUACAUCUGCAAUAGUAUGAAUUUUGGACUAAAUUGAAUAGUAUGUGUAUUAAAAAUAUUGAAUUUUCUUAUUUAGAUAAAGAUAAACCUUGUACGGAUUUAGAUCGAGGAAAGGCUAAAGUCUCAGAUUAGUGAUCCUAUUUUGACGUCUUUGUAAUCAAGGUAAAUUUGUAUGUUUAAAUAACAUUAUAAUGUUAUUUUGAUAUUUAUGCAUUGUAAUAUAUAUCAUGUAAAGAAAUUAUGAGAAUCCAAUGACGUUACAAUGACUAUCGAGCUCCGUUUGAACCUUAGGAAUAUAUAGGAUACAAAUGAAAUGUCAUUAAGGUUACCAUGUUUCGGAUGUUGGUCUUGACUGUCCUACCAAUGGAUGAGCUCUGGAAUUUUUUGCUGAUAUUCGCCAACUUAUGUGAGUGGCAUUGUGUACCAACAUUCUGAUCGUCAACUUGUGUGAGUAGGCCCAUUUAUGGCUUGAGUGAGCAAUGAUGUAAAGGAAAAGGAAUGGUUUCAACCAUAUGUUUAGCAUAUUUUGUGUGAGCUUCCCGCGUAUCCAAUAUUAUUCUAAGUGGUUCAACGGGUAUGAAAUGGGAAGAAACAGUAAGGGUGAGUUUGGAUGGGCGGUGCGUUUACCUGCGGUUAGUGUAAAAACUGCAGUGGCGGUGAGAUUAGAUACUGUAGCGACACUGUAGCGUGAGACAAAAAGUAAGCUAAACGCACCACACCGCACCCAGUCGCCCAUCCAAACCCAUCAUAAGUGCUCCAUUGACUACGUUAUGAACUUAUGGAAAGGUAUGAAUUGAUAAUGAUCAGAGUAUACAUAGUUAUGUUUAUGGAAAGUAUGAAUUCAAAUGUACUAUGUUCAUGAAAUUUACCUUACCAUGUGAUGCUUUUGUUGAGUUAUGUGUUAAGGCACUAACUUAUGUUGUUGAUGAUGCUUGGGCUUGUGUCAAGCUUAUUUUGGAUUGAUUCAUGUUUAAAUUAUGAGGUUUUGCAUUGAAAUGGUAAGCUAUGUUCAUGAUUUACGAACUUACUAAGCAUUAUAUGCUUACGUAGUUUUCUUUUCUAUGUUUUAUAGAUUAUCGGAAGCUCGUUCGCUUUGGAAGUUCGUCAGAGACCUAUCAUACUAUCCGGCGAUUAUAUCAGUAGAUUUUGAUGUUUUGGUCAAGGUUAGAAUGGCAUGUAUAAAUGAACUUCUGCUUAAUGAUCUAGUUGUUUUGGAAUGUAUAAGUGUUAUUAUGGUUGAUGUACUUAUGGUUUUUUGAUGCCUUGAUGGUUGGUGUUAUUAUGGCCAAGAUGUUGCAUGUUUUGAAUGAUCAAUUUGGUAUGUGAUGGUGUAUUUUCAAUAUGGUCAAUUAAGGUAUGUUUUUAGUUGAAAUAAGUAAAAUGUGUAAGGUUGAUGAAUGGUCAAGCAUGCAUAUUUUUUUGUAGGUUUAAUGGAUUGUAAUUAAGGUGUCUUAUUGGCAUAUUGGUUGCAUGGAUUAUUGGUAUAGAGAUUUGGUCAUUUGAUGUAUGUUUUGGGCAUGUUUUAAGGUCUUGAUUAUUUAUGCAAUUGGCUUGUAGGUACAUGUCUAAAUGGGUGAAAGAAAUGGUUUGAUUUUAGCCAAUUCUUGUCCACACAGCCUAAAAUGCCGGCGUGUGUCUCAGUCUAUUGUGACACGGUCGUGUGUCCCUUGUAGGUAUUAAAGGUUUCAAGUCAGGCAGUUACACGGCCUCGCACACGUCCUGGUACAUAGGCGUGUGAGGCCAUUUCGAGUGUUACAUGGCCUGGCACACGGGCGUGUGGCUUGGUCGUGUGACCUAACUUAGAGAGUUACAUAAGCACGAACACAGGCUGGGACACGGCCGUGUGUCCCUAUUUUGAUUGUUACACAGCCUAAGACAUGGGCGUGUGUCUCAGCUAUGUGAGUCAUAUGGCAGUGUGAACCCUGUAGUUUUGAAUUUUCUAACAUUUUCCUGAUUUAGUCCUGAAUCAUUUCUAAAGUGUUUCUAAGGCCUCGAGGGUUCGAAUAAGGGAUGAUAUGAAUGUCUAUGAGUGGAUUAUGCUAUGAUUAUUGUAAUGUUUGGAAAUGAAUGUUUUUAGGUUAUGUUUAUACAGUAAUGCUCCGUAACCCUAUUCUGGUGAUGGAUACGGGUUAGGAGUGUUACAUUUAGUGAUAUCAGAGCUAUGGUUUAGUUGGUUCUCAGACUGAACGUAGCGAGUACGAGUCUAGAAAUACAUGUCAUUAUAUAACCUGUGAUUGUGUGGUAACUCCUAACUCAAUUUGAACUAUACUUUUAUAUAGAUAAUGUCAUCCAACCAAGUCGAUUCUGAUGAGGCUGAAAGUAUCGCGCAAGCCUCUGUUCAUGUAGCAGCGUUGAGUGGAAGUAGACUUGUAUUUAAGGUAUGGGGAGGAGAGGCUAAGGAAACCUUCUUUCAGAUGAUGAAUGAGUGGUUCACCGAUUUUCUACGAACGAACCCGAUGGCUCAACGACCUCAACCCCUACAUAUUCCCCAACCAAUCCCUAUAGUUCCUCAAGGUUUUGAACCAAUACGAUUGAGCAAGCCUCCAGUUGAUAAAAUCCGCAAAUAUGAGGCUGAAGAGUUUAGAGCUACGUCUAAAAAUGAUCCAGAUAGAAUCGAGUUAUAGUUAGAAAAUACAAUCAGGGUUUUCAACAAAUUAUCUUGUACGCCGGUAAAAUGUGUGAAAUUUUUUGUUUCCUUACUGAAAGACUCAACCUAUCAGUGGUGGAAUACCUUGGUUUCAGUUGUGUCAAGAGAAUGAGUAGACUAGGAAUUCUUUCAAACUGAGUUCUAUAGCAAAUAUGUGAGUCAGAGGUUUCUUGACAAGAAACACAAAGAGUUUCUCAAGCUUAAACAAGGCCAGAUGAUACUAUCUGAGUGAGAGACAGGAUUUGUUUGAUUGAGCAAGUAUGCCCGAGAAUGUAUACUGACUGAGAUUGCCAUGUGUAAACGGUUUGAAGAUUUGCUGAAUGAAGACAUGAAGCUGUUAGUCAGGAUUCUAGAAUUGAAAGAAUUUUUUAUUCUAGUUCACCGAGCACACAAAGCUGAAGAAUUGAGUAAAGCUAAAAGAAAAGUUGAUUUAUGAGGCUUGUGAUUCGAGUAAGAGAUCGGCGGGAAAAUCAUCUCAUUUAUCGUCAAAGAAGUCAAAAGAAUAUCAUAAUCGUUCGUUAGCUUCAGUGGGUCAUUCUGGUAGAGAUCGAAGAAAAUAGCAUGCGAAUUUAAAACCUCAGGCUACUCUAUAUCGAGCCUAGCACACGGACGUGUGAAGCCAUUUUGAGUGUUACACGGCCUGGCACACGAGCCACUGGCUUGGCCAUGUGACCAAACUCAGAGAAUUACACGAGCAUGGACAUGGGCUGGAACACGGCUGUGUGUCCCUAAUUCGAUUGUUAGAUGGCCUGAGACAUAGGCGUGUGUCUCAGCCGUAUGAGUCAUACAGCCGUGUGACCCUUGCAGUUUUGAAUUUUCUAACUUUUUCCACAAUGUUUCAAAUGUUCCUGAUUUAGUCCCGAAAUAUUUCUAAAGUGUUUCUAAGGCCUCGAGGGUUCAAAUAAGGGGCGAUAUAAAUGUCUGUAAGUGGAUUAUGCUAUGAUUAUUGUAAUGUUUGGAAAUGAAUGUUUUUAGGUUAUGUUUAUAUAUUAAUGCUCCAUAACCCUAUUCUGGCGACAGAUACAGCUUAGGAGUGUUACAUAAACUCAAGUUACUUUGCUACCCUUGCUCACAACCUUUUCAAGAUAUUUAUUUGUACUCGUUUUUUCUCUUCUUUAUUAUUAUUAUUUUCUUUUUCUUUUCUUUUUUCUUUUAGCAUGUCACAAAAUUCUUUGACUUGAUAUUCACAAUGGAGCAUACACUAAAUUACCUAGCUCUCAAUCAUGUCAUAAUUUAAAUAUAAAUCACUUGUGAAGCUAAGGUUUUUGACUAAAAAGAUGGAUGAAGUAAACAACUACCUUCUUAGCUACUCAGUCUGUUGCUAUAGUGAAGUACCCAUUUUCUUUAUUACACACUAUUACUUGGACUCACCUUUCUAGUCAACAGCACAGUGGAGCAAAUAAAAUGGUGCUAACUUACUCAACAAUUUUAAGCAUUGGAGUGCCUAUUGUCCUUUAUUUAAGUAAUGUCGUGGCAAAAUGACUGAGUUUGGCUUCAAAAACCCUAAAUUCAUCAAAAAGCCCUUGCUAUUAAUCAAAAAGGGAAAAAAACUAAGUAUAAGACAUCUCAUUUUUAAGAAUUAAUUUUCACGCAAUCUAACCUAAGCUAAACUCGCCUCAUCCACUAUCACAUGUUUUAGAUAUACUGAAGAAUAUAAGCUCAUCAUCGAACAUCACAAGUACAGAUUGAAUUUCUCGCAGAUAAAACAGUAUUUAAUAAUCACAUGGCAUUGGAAAACAACUUAACUAUACUAGGAUGAACAUACAUACUAGAUACGUAAUGCAACCUAAAUGCACAAUACAUCACCCCAAACUUAAGGGAUGCAUUAUCCUCAAUGCAUGAAUAGAUAUAUGCAAACUAUCUAUGUACAGACAAUGUCAUGGCAAAAUAUAUGCAAUGCAAUAUGUCUGAAAUAAAACGAAAACUUUCCUUGCUUGGACUACAUUAUAGAUACUUCAUUAUGUCUGACGAGUUGAUUUAUGAGCAGCAACCUUGUACCUUUACUUCCUCUUCAUCCUCACAGUCAGUCUCAAUACUGACAAACUUUAUUUUCUCUGGUUCUUUCUCUGAUGCUUUAGGUGCAUUCUCUUAAUUGGUAGGAUUUGUCGAUGGGUUCUGCGUCACCGACCCUAUCCCCUCUUGCAGUUUAUUAAACAAAGGAAAUAAAAUAACUAAGAGAAAUUUAAAUCGACAAAAUAAAAUAAAAAUAAAAAGAAUUUUCAAGAUGUUGAAGUUAAACAUCUCAAAGAUCAAAGGACUAUUUGUCUCACUCUACAUAAGCACCCCAAUAGUGUUUCAAGCGUUGUCCAUUAACUUUAAAUGUGUCCCCUAUUUUCAUGUACUUGACAUCAACAACUCCAUGUGGGAUAUAUAUGAGCUACCAAGCAUUAUUCAUCAAAAUUGAAAGGUUUAUUUUGCUCCAGCAAAGUGUAUAAGGGUCUCCGCUCAAAUGAAUCUUUAUCACUAUCAAAACUGAUGUGGCAAUAUAUCAUGAACUCUUCCUCCACUACUGUUUCUAUUAAGUCAAUGGCAUGGCAUUCUUUAUUAUCAUCAAAAUAUUUCAGUGCAUUAAAUAAAUUUAAUGUGACCUAUUGAUCAUUCAUCCUCAUGGUCAAUUCACCUUUCUACACAUCAAUUGAAGUCCUGCCUGUAGCAAGAAAAGGCCUUCCAAGAAUAAUUGGCACAUCUUUGUUAGCUUCACAAUCUAAAAUAAGGAAAUCAGCUGGAAAAAUAAACUUAUCUACUCUUACCAACACAUCUUCAAUUUUACCUUCUGGAUGUGCAUAGGAUCGAUCAGCCAGUUGUAAUGUAACUGUAGUAAGUCUAGUUUUUCCAAUUCCCAGCUUCCUGAAAAUAGACAGCAAUAUUAGAUUUAUACAUACUCCUGAAUCACAUAAUGCAUUACCAACAUAAUGAUUUCCAAUUAAACAUAAAACAGAGAAACUCCCUAAGUCCUUCAACUUUGGAGGUAAUUCAUCAACAUUGUUGUGCACCCUUAAGUGAAAGCAAUAGUCUCAAGUUCUCCCAUUCUGUGCUUCUUCGACAGUAUAUCCUACAUAAAUUUCAUAUAGUUUGGCAUUUGCUCCAAAUCUUCUACUAGUGAUAUAUUAAUAUGUAGUUGCUUCAAGACCUCCAAAAACCUUUUGAACUGAACAUCUUGUUUAGAAUUAUGUAAUUUCUGAGGAAAAGAUAGAGGUGGUCGCCCUUCAGGUUUCUGAUAUUGUUUUCCUAUAGCGUUUUUAUUGGCAGCCUGAUCUAGUUCUGCCACAGCAUUCUUCUGCUUACCCUUUUCAAGUGUAAUAUGUUUUUCAGAUGGCUUUGGGAUCUUCACAUGGUUGUUAUUUGAGUUAUCCUCUCCUGCUGUGGCAUCUUGAACAACAUCAUUUAACUGAGUUCCACUUCUAAGAGUGAUCACUUUGCACUGUUCUUUCCCUUAUGUUAUCCAAUUCUAGGUAUCGUUGGCAAUGCUCCUUGUGGCCUCAAAUUUAAAGCAUUUGCUAUUUGCCCCACUUGAUUCUCAAGAGCUCGUAGGGACAUAGCUUGACUAAGGUAUCUUUCUUGGCCAUAAAUUAUUUCAACAAGUCUUCAAUAGAUGGUGAUGAUAAUGACUGGCCUUGUUGUACAUUUUGCCUCAGCAUAGGAUGAUUAUAACUAGGCGAUGCACUAUCGGCAUUCUUCUUGUAGCAUUGUUAAAAUUCCCCUCACCUUGAUUAUUCCAACUAAAGUUUGGAUGUUGUCCCCACCUUGGAUUAUAGGUGUUGGAAUAGGGAUUAUUAUUCCAAUUGAAAUUACCUAUGUAGCACAGGAAUGUUGGGUUUGGUGGGAAUUCAUCCAACACGUGGUCAUCACCACAAUAAACACAUGCUAGCCUAAUAGCUUUCACCUCCUGAACUGUAGUUGGUAUCUCUAUCAUCUUGAUCAUAUUAGUUAAAGAUGAAACAUGGGUAGUCAAUGAAGUGAUUGUAUCAAGUUCCAUGGUACCAGCAGCUUUCUUACCUGUUCAAACUCUCGUGGUAGGAUAUUGAUAAUCAUUGCUGGCAAUCUUUUCCAAAAUCUCAUAUGCUUCAUUAUAAGAUUUAUCCAACAAAAUACCAUUGGUGAAGGCAUCAAUUACCAUCCUCAUAUGCGCAUUCAUUCCAUUAUAAAAUAACUCCAUCUGUGUCUAGUGCUGAAAUCCAUGCAUCGGGCACUUCUGAAUGAAGUCUUUAAAUCGCUCUCAAGCUUCAUAUAGCGUUUCAUCAUCCAAUUGCCGAAAAGAUGUGAUGUCAUUUCUAAGCUUGGCAUUCAUAUUUGGAGGAUUAUAUCGUAGAAAAAAACUCUAGCAAAGAUCAUUCCAUGAUGCUACUAUUCAGUACGGCAGAGCAUUCAGUCAUGCUCUCACACGAUCUCUUAAAGAAUAUGGAAACAGUUUAAGUCGCAAAGUGUCUUUAGGCACACCCUACUGUCUCUAUGAGUCAUAAACCUCUAAAAAAAGUCUUAAAUGAAGUAUUGGAUCUUUAUUAGGUAAUCCACUUAACUGUCCUACUGUUUACAACAUCUAAAAUAUUACCAGUUUCAGCUCAAACUACUGAACUUGUAUUUGUGGUCUGACUAUCUCUGGAUUCAAAUCAUCCAAAAUUAGCACAACAUGCUCUCAAAUUGGUCUAUCUCGGUCAUCUAUCACUCUACGAACAUGAAGAUUAGCAUCCUGACCAUUCAAAUUAUCAUUGAGACUAGGAUCAUUUUCGUUUCUAGCAUCAUAGUUCUUUUCACCUUCUUCGUAAAGUUAUUUCGAUGUCUGGGUUAAAAGGAUACUCUUUGUUAGCAGGAAUAUCUUUUCUCAUGUACUGAUGGAAAACUUAUAGAAAAAUAUAACUAAGUUAAAUAAAACUAAUGGAGCUAAGUGAAAUAACAAAACCAAUUUUUAGGAAAUUGUCAAUCCCUGGCAACGGUGCCAAAAAAUUGUCGCGUGUGAAUAUGAUAUGUGAAUUGUGCAAGUAUACACGUUGGAUCAACUAAUAAAAUGAUAAGUGAGUAUCAUUCCCAUGAGGUUCCGAUUGAUGCACAAAAGUGGUCAAGUUAUUAUAAUAGAGUGUUAUUAAUGCUAUGGCAAAAACAACGAUAAGUAUAAAGGAGUAGUGAUGUAUGUAAUAUGUGGAAUUUAAUGAAUACAUGGAAAUGUUAUGGAAAAACAAAAGUAGAAAUGUAAUGGAAAUUAUGAGAAUUACUACGGGAAUAUUAUGUAAAUGAACAAAUAAAUAACUAAUAAUGAUGUGACAAAGAUACUAUGGCAAAGAACAAAGGAUAUACGAUGUUGAUUUGGAAUGUUGGAAUUACUAAGAAUCUACCCUUACUGUCAGAGAUGCCUCGAAAAAAUCAUAAUUAAUUUACUACUUAGAAGAGUUCUAAAGUGGUCUGCUUCUUUCGAGAGCAAAAGUCUCAAGUUACCUUACCCAUGACAAUAUGCCUUUAAUACGAUACCCUGCACUAUUUCUUUCUGUAUGAAUGUUGCUCUAUAUCUAAAGUCUACUACAAGCAUCUAUUGAAUACUUGCUCAUAUCAUUCAAUUUUGGUCCAACUAAUCCAACUUUUUCAAAAUUAAAUUAGUUUAUGUGCAUGCUACAUAGUCUCUAUGUCUAGGAAUUGCACGCUUAUAAUUUAGAAAAAAAUAAUUAAAUGAAACAGUAAAUUAAUUCAAAUCUAUGCUUCAACCAUUAAAGAAAAUAAAGGUUUCAUCAUGUAAUCUCAACCCUAUGAAAUUUAGCUCAUGGGUUGGCACAUAAAAUUUAAAACCAAAAUAACAUCCAACACCAUUUUCAUCAUUCCAUUCAAGGAAGAACAAAGGAAGAAAAGUAUAAGACUUUGAGAAUACAACUUUUGCAUGUCAUGUUCACACUCCAACAACAUAAUUCAGGCGAUGGCUAAGAGGGACUACUUUUGUCUUCCUCUUUUUGUCUCUACUCAGUCGCUACCCUCUAUUUUUGCCUAAGGAUCUGUUACUUUUUGUUCGUCAUUUAGGGUUUCCUCCUUUGGCUUCUUAUAGCUUUUUUCCUUGGGUAAAUCCAACAAAUCAUGUUUAUCUUCUCCUCUUUUUAAAAUUUUUUUUCUAGAAUAAAAAUAAACAUCCCAGGAUUAUCUUCUCCUCUUUUAGGUACAUUUUUUUGGUAAAACUACAGUUGGGCUGAAAUUGGUAUGCAUUGAGUGUUGACUCGGUCUUCCUAGAAUUGCCACAGCAUUCGUGCUAACCAAAUGUCCAACCUUUUGCCCUGGUAAACCUUUACUCCUUUAUUUCUCAUUCCUCAACCUGCACCUGCCAAAGCACCAAACACAACCCUACCAUAAGCAAUUAAAAGUAUCUAUUAUUGAUUUUUUUUGGUAAGUGGUAAUAGGACUUGUAACUAAUAUAGUUUUGGAAAAAAUAUAAUUUUUUUAGAAUCUUUGAGGCAUAUUUUCGAUUGGUAAAUGAGGAGUUUUGAAUCAUAAAAUUAUGAUUUUAUGUUCUACCCCAUGAGACCUUUACAACGAGAUAUCAUAUGCUCAAAAUGGUUGAGUGAUGAAUGAGAAAUUGAUGCUCAAAGUAAGCUACUUGGAAAUUAUGUUGAGAAAAAUGAAAAAGCAUUAAUCCCACAUUUAUUAGGAAUCAAGUGUGGAACUUGUAUAUAUAUGUAAAUCAACUUGGUGGUUAUUAAAUGAGUAAACUAAUGCUCUCCCUCGUGCGCAGGGGGUGCAAAUCUAAAUCCACUGAGGUUGGGGCACACCCGCACGACAUGGGCGUUUCCAAGAUUUUACUCAAAUUGAUUUAAAGGCUUCUUUAAUGCAUAUUUGUAUCUUUAUUCAUGGAAAUUUCUAAAAUUCUUCCACAUUGAAUGCUUAUAAAAGCCUAAAUUCUUUAAAGACACACAACGAAUUUAUUUCACUCUCGAAAAUUCUAUUCCUUUUCUCUCCAAAAUUUUCAAAUGUCCGGUGAUAGAAGAAUGCAAGGUUUGUUCGUUGAUCACUGCAGACGUACUACUGCCGCAAUCAUUUUGUUAUUGUAUCCUGGGAGACAGAUGACCAACAUUUCUCUAAGUACCAUAGGAGCAGCUGAAUCUGUCUUAAGGAAACUGUGAAAACAGGCCUCAGCAUCUAGUAAAACUCGAUUUCCUUAUUCAAUUUCUGGUUUUUCAAUAUCUUGUUUAUAUAAUUAUUUUUUAGAUUUGAUGUUUUAAAUAAAUAUUAAUAUUUAUUUAAUUUAUUUUGUUUAGAUCUGGUGUUUUUACACAAAUAUAGAUAUUUGGUUAUAUUAUUUGUUCAAGAUAUUAUAUUUAAUAUAAAUAUUUACAUUUAUAUUUGUUCGCUAACGUGUUUUGUCCAACAAUAUUAAGACAGAUUUUUAUUAUUUUAAAAUUCUCUAAUCCGAGUAGAACGAGGCACGAAGGCGAAAAAAACAUAUUCUGUCUAAGGAAAAAAUUAAAUUGAAUAAAAUCUAUUUCGGGAUUUAUGAUUGUCGUUCAAUAGAUUUUAUUCCUUUUUUAUUUUGUUUCCAAACAAGAAUUAAUUGAAUAAUUCUAUUUCAGAAUUUAUUCUCGCAUCUCAACAGAUUUUAUUCUAUUUUGAUUUUGUUUCCAAACAAUAAUUAAAUAAAUAAUUCUAUUUCGAGAUUUAUUCCCGCCAUUUAACAGAUUUUAUUUGAUUUUGAUUUUGUUUCCAAACAAGAUUUAAUUAAAUAAUUUUGUUUCAAGAUUUAAUCCUGUCGGCCAACAAAAUUGAUUUUAAUUUUAUUUCAGAAUUUUAACUCUUCCAUUUAACAAAAUCAAAGGGUAAUAUAAAUUUUAAAUUAAAUUUUUUAUUUAUUGUGGCUUUAAUUGUGGCUUUAAAUUGUGAAAGCUUAAAUUGUAGCUUCAAACUUGUGACAUCAAAGAAAAAAAAAUUUAUCAACGGUGAAUUAAAAAAGACAAUAUGAGAGUGCAUGUCUAGGAUUGGUUCUUUGAAAGACUUGGUAUUUAAGCGUGCCAAGUGCACCACCUCUCUUUCAGGGUUACCUACCUGGCACAUUUUUUUUGUCUUUCGAUUAGACCGUGUAAACUUUUGUUUCAAGUUUUAUUAAAUUCCUAUCGUCUAGCAAAAGUUGAUAAUUUUUUUCUAAUUUUGGUUUUGUUUCUGAAAUCUUAACAGAAAAUGGAAACUCCCACCAAUGCUAUGGAAGAUAUGGACUUAUGUGCUGUGAUUUUUGGAGUCAACAUGGUUGACUCACAUCCAAGAGAAUAGUGGCUUGAUACUAGUGCCACACGUCAUAUUUGUUGUGACAAAGACUUCUUUUCUGAGUUGGAGCCUUGUGAAGAUAGGGAGAAGCUCUAUAUGGGCAAUGCUAUGACUUCCAAGAUCAAGGAGAAUGGUACUAUAGUCUUGAAGAUGACUUCUGGUAGAGAACUCAAGCUUCAAAAUGUGUUGUAUGUGUUUGACAUACGCAAGAACCUUAUUUCUGAGACACUCCUUAGUGUACACGGUUUUAAGACGGUGUUUGAAUCCCAGAAGCUAGUUUUGUCUAAAGGGUGAAUGUUUGUGGGAAGGGGAUAUGUAUUAAAUGACAUAUGGAAACUUAAAGCAAUCUCUGUAAAAUCAAAAACUAUGAAUAAGAGUGUUGUUUCUUCUUCUAUUUAUAUGCUUGAGUCAUUUAAUUUAUGGCAUGGUAGGCUCGGACAUGUUGAUUAUGAUACUUUACAUAGAUUAAUUAAUUUAGAGCACAUUCCUUCAUUUCACAUUAGUUAUAAACAUAAAUGUGAAACUUUUGUUGAGGAAAAAUUAACAAUGCUUUCGUUUGAAACUAUUGAAAGAAAUAUAGAACCACUCGAUCUAAUACAUAGCAAUGUUUGUGACUUAAUGUUUGUUCAAACCAGAGGAAGGAAUAAAUAUUUUAUUACCUUCAUUAAUGAUAGCACAAAAUAUUGUUAUGUAUAUUUGCUUCAGAGCAAAAACGAAGUUAUAGAGAAAUUUAUUCUCUAUAAACAGGAAGUUGAAACCUAACUUAAUAACUAAGAUGGUAAGAAGUGAUUGUGGUGGUAAAUAUGUUGAACCAUUUAGUGAAUACUGUGCACAACAUGGUAUUAUUCAUGAAGUGACACCACCAUACACUUCUCAAUCAAAUGGAAUAACCGAGCGAAAAAAUCAGACUCUAAAGGAAAUGAUGAACGCAUUACUAGGAAGCUCUGGGUUAUCACAGAACAUGUGGGGGGAAGCUAUUCUAUGAGCUAAUUACCUUUUAAAUAAGGUUCCCUACAAGAAAAUGGACAAUACACCAUAUGAGUUAUGGAAAGGUAGAAAACCUUCCUACAACUACUUGAAACUGUGGGGGUGUCUUGCAAAGGUAAUGGCUCCAUUACCAAAGUAAAUGAAAAUAGGUCUUAAAACGGUGGAUGUAUUUUCAUAGGCUAUGUAGAUCAUAGAAAUACAUAUAGGUUUUUUGUGUAUGAAUCAAAGAAUCCUGACAUUCACAAGAAUAUUAUAUUGGAAUCAAUGAAUUCUUUAUUCUUUAAAAAUAUCUUCCCUUAUAAAGCUAGGGAAGUUUAUUCAAGUUCAACAAAAUGAACUUCAGAGACUAUAGAAGAAAAUAGUCAAGACGAGGUUAAAACUAUGAUAGAGCCAAGAGUAAACGAGUAACACUGCAAAAAUCUUUUGGAUCAGAUUUUCUAACCUUUAUGCUAGAUGCUAAACCUCAAACAUGUGAUGAUGCUAUACGGUCAUCUAAAAGCACUUCAUGGAAAGAUGCUAUUAAAAGUGAAAUUGACUCCAUCAUGUAAAAUCAUACAUGAGAAUUAGUGGAUCUUACUCUAGGAAUUAAACCAUUAAAUUCUAAGUGGAUUUUUAAAUGAAAAAUGAAAGCAGAUGAAACAAUUAACAAGUACAAGGUCAGAUUGGUUAUAAAAGGUUAUAGAUAAAAAAGAAGGCCUACUUUGAUACUUUUUCUCCAAUAUCCAGGAUAACUUCUAUAAGGAUGAUACUUGCAAUUGUCGCCUUAUAGAAUCUAGAAGUACAUCAAAUGGAUGUUAAAACAACUUUCCUAAAUGGAGAUCUUGAUGAAGAAAUUUACAUAGAACAACCUGAGGGUCAUGUAAUUCUAAGACAAGAAAGGAAAGUUUGUAAAUUGGUGAAGUCUUUAUAUGGACUUAAGCAAGCACUAAAACAAUGGCAUUAAAACUGUUCGACAAUGCCAUGAUGACAAAUGGCUUUAAGAUUAAUGAAUGUGAAAAUUGUGUGUAUGUCAAAACUACCGAUAUUGGAUAUAUAAUCCUAUGCUUAUAUAUUGAUGACAUAGUCAUUGUUGGGAGUAACAAUGAAAUGGUAAAACGUGCCACAGACAUGUUAAAUUCAACGUUUGACAUGAAAGAUAUGGGACUAGCAAAUGUGAUUUUAGCAUCCAAAUUAAGAGGUCAUAUGAAGGUCUGAUAUUGACUUAGCCACACUAUGUGGACAAGAUUCUUGGGAAAUUUAGCAAGGAUGAUUCCGGUAUAGCCAAAACUCCAAUAGAUACAAGCCAACAUUUGUCCAAAAAUAAAGGUGAAAGUGUUGACCAAGUGGAAUAUGCAGGGGUCAUAGGCAGUCUAAUGUACCUUAUGAGUUGUACUAGACCAGAUAUUGCUUUCACUGUGAGCAGUUUAAGCAUAUUCACAAGCAAUCCAGGGGAAAACCAAUGGAAAGUAAUUGUGAGGAUACUGAGAUAUCUUAGAUAUACUCGGGACUAUGGAUUGCAUUAUUCCAAAAAUCCUAUUGUUUUAGAAGGAUUCUCCUGUGCCAGUUGGAUAUCUGAUAUUCAAGAUACCAAAGGCACAAGUGGAUAUGUUUUUACAUUAGGAGGAGGAGCUAUGUCAUGGAAAUCCCCAAGACAAACGAUUAUAACCAGAUCCAUAAUAGAAUCUGAGUUUGUAGCUCUAGACAAAUCUGGAGAAAAGGCUAAAUGGCUUCGAAACUUCUUGGAAGAUAUUCCUGACUGGCCAAAGCCUGUGCCCACAAUAUGUAUAUAUUGUAACAAUCAAGCAACAAUUGGUAGAGCACAAAAUGUAAUAUAUAAUGGUAAGUCAAGACAUAUGCGUCGUUGACACAAUACUUGUAGACAACUGAUCUCAAAUGGAGUUAUCUCUAUUGAUUUUGUAAAAUCAAAAGAUAACAUUGUGGAUCCGCUAACUAAAUGCUUAAAUCGAGAUCAGGUUAAUAAAACAUCGAAAGGAAUAGGACUAAAGCCCAUGGAAAUUAAAGGCGCUAUGUAAAGGAAAACCCAACCUAGUUGACUGGAGAUCCCAAAAUCUAAGUUCAAAUGGACAACCUAAUUGCAUAGGCCUUGUGAGGUCACUAUAGGGGUUCUUAUUCCAAGUCCGUUCCUAUGAAAUAAACAGUAAUUUAAAGUGAGAUAGGUUAAGUAAAGCUUUUAAUGACCAUUGUGUGUUUCGGAAAGCCAAGCAACAUAAGUCACCUAUGUUAGAGUGAAGUGGGGCCGCUUCGAGGAGACUAUUGUGCAUAGUUCUCUCAAAAUCUUGCAGAACCAGGAAAUGUUCAUGGUCAUAUAAACAUACCUAUGAGAACGAAGACCUUGCUAGGGAGGUAGUUGUGUAAGGUAUAUCAUUGUUUACACAAACGACAGAACAGUUCAAGGAUAUUGCGUCAACUAGUCAGCUAGUAAAAUAAAUAUACUUUCACAAUGUAAGGUUCAAGGGUUGAUGUCUGCCUAUCAUAUGCAACUAUCAAUCGUAGAAUCUAUCACCACAUCCAGCCAAUGUUUUUCAUUAAACCUAUCAAUUUCAUUCAUGUGGGGUAUUGUUGGAAAAAUAUGAUUUUUUGGAAUCUUUGAGGCAUAUUUUCGAUUGGUAAAUGAGGAGUUUUGAAUCAUAAAAUUAUGAUUUUAUGUUCUACCUCAUGAGACCUUUACAACGGGAUAUCAUAUGCUCAAAAUGGUUGAGUGAUGAAUGAGAAAUUGAUGCUCAAAGUAAGCUACUUGGAAAUUAUGUUGAGAAAAAAUGAAAAAGCAUUAGUCCCACAUUGAUUUGGAAUCAAGUGUGGAACUUUUAUAUAUAUGUAAACCAACUUAGUGGUUAUUGAAUGAGUAAACUAAUGCUCUCCCUCGCGCGCAGGGGGUGCAAAUUCAAACCCAUCGGGGUUGGGAAACACCCGCACGACGUGGGUAACGCGAAAUGUCCGGAUCGAUCAGGCCCUUUUAGGCCUGCGAAUAUUUUAGCCCAAUACGUAUUUAUUUAUUUUUUUGAGCAGAUAUUAUACAGAAUCUGUUUUAAAAGAACAAAUAUCUCAUUUUGAUUUGAUUCCAAUCAAAUUUGAUUUUAUUUUAUUCAAAUUGAUUUAAAGGCUCCCUUAAUGCAGAUUUGUAUCUUUAUUCAUGAAAAUUUCUAAAAUUCCUCCACAUUGAAUGUCUAUAAAAGCCUAAAGAAUAUUGCAGAAUUCUUUAGAGACGCACAACGAAUUUAUUUCACUCUCGAAAAUUCUAUUCAUUUUCUCUCCAAAUUUUUCAAAUGUUUGGUGAUAGAAGAAGGAAAGAUUUAUUUAUUGAUCACUGCAGAAGCACUACUCCCAUGAUCAUUUUGUUGUUGUUUCUUGGGAGACAGACGAUCAACGUUUCUCCAAGUACCAUAGGAGCUGUCGAGUCUAUCUUACGGAAACUGUGAAAACAGGCCUCAACAUCUAGUAAAAUUCGAUUCUCUUAUUCGAUUUCUAAUUUUUCAAGAUCUUGUUUAUUUAAUUAUUUUUUAGAUAUGAUGUUUUAAAUAAAUAUAAAUAUUUAUUUAAUUGAUUUUGUUUAGAUCCGGUGUUUUUACAUAAAUAUAAAUAUUUGUUUAUAUUAUUUGUUCAAAAUCUUGUAUUUAAUAUAAAUAUUUAUAUUUAUAUUUGUUCACUAAGGUGUUUUGUCCAAACUAUAGCUUCUCAAUAAUUGUCAAAUAUUAUAGUGAUAUGCUUUUUCUUUCAAUAAUUCAUAUCUUCAAGAUUAAAAGGUUUACUUUAGUAUUAUUCUAUUUAUUGAGUGUGUAUUAAUGUUUUGUACAGGAAUCCGUUGGAUUUUGGUCUUGUAUAAAUUAGCUGUGGUUGUGGGUAAAUAAAUGUGUGCCGUUCUUCAUUCUCCGAACAUGCUGAAUAUAAUUAUUGGCAUUUCAAGUGUGGCAUAAUAUAAAACAAUGGUUGGCUUCAUCAUAAUCUGUUUGGAGACUAACGGACCACACUUUGACCUCCAAAUUUAGAAAAUAUUUCCAGAGUUGGAAAUUGUAAUUGUAAUACCCUAAUAUUUGUACACCGCAGUGAACAUGGACAAUCAUGUCAUGAUGCAGAACCAGAAAAUGGUGCCAACUCUCCUUCUUCUCCCCCUCUUUCUUCCAAAACUAUAUCCUCGAAAAUGGUGACAUCAAACUUCCUUUCGUUUAUCAAAGGUUCACCCCUCACAUUACAGGGUCCUGUUCGUAUCUCAAGGCAAUCAAACAUGGAAUCCAUAUAUAUGAUUCUUCCCCAAUCCUUGUUGUAGAUUCUUUGGGGAUACAAGCCUUUUUGUUUGUAUUUAAAUACAAAAAAGGGAGAAAGAAAAGUGCCAUCUACAACUGCAUGCUAAUGAUUGCCAAAAUCACUGUUUGUUUUGUUGGAAGGCUUUCAAUCUUGCGGGGUCUUGAAGAGCCUGUUUCAGUAACUUGCCAUUAAUUCUCUCUUACAUUCCAAUCCUAAAAAAUGCUUCCAUCUUUUAGCUGCAACAGUUUAUAAUCAUCAGAAAGGUCUAGUCAGAAUAAUAUUACCUUCUCCUUUUAAACAGUUUUUUUUUUUUAAAUCAUGCCACUACAACUGUAGCUGCGCUCAUGUUAACAAUUAAUUCCUAUAAUCGACAUCAAAAUUAUAUGAAAGAAUUAACACUUGGUUACCGAGUUACCAUAUUUGAAGAUAACGCGAAAGGUAAAAACACAAAAGGCAAGCAUGACCAAGCAAACAAGGUAUGGACAUUGAUUUUUUUGAAUCGGGAAUGACCAAAUGGGACCGUGAAGAGGUGACAAAGGAGAAAUCAGGCAUUCACGGUUUCCAUUGGAUGAAAUGAGAUAAGAUCACUGUGCUUCUUCCACGUGGCAGGUUGCCAAAGAUAAGGCUUUACCAUUCAAGAAAAGUUUCCACCCUCUUUGUGGUCAUUAUGGUUGUAAUGUCAUCUGAUUUAGGAUCCAACGGUCACCCUGUCUCCCAAACCAAUCUCUAAAUGUGGUGAGCUUAGACCAAAUUUUAUGACUAUAUAUAGGGGAUUGCACCAAGGCAGUGACACUAUUAAGGGAUCAGUGAGACUCUUUUGUAUACCUGUAGCAUAUAGUAAUAGUAAGCAGUAAUAGCAAUGGCCUCCUCCAUGAUCUCAUCGGCAACCAUUGCCACCGUGAACCGCUCCUCCCCGGCACAGGCCAACAUGGUGGCCCCCUUCACCGGCCUCAAAUCUGCCUCUGCUUUCCCAGUCACCAGGAAGGCCAACAACGACAUCACUUCUCUUGCAAGCAACGGUGGGAGAGUGCAAUGCAUGCAGGUACUUGGUGAUGCAUAAAUACCACUUAAAUUACCCCAAGUGUUUGAACACAACAAAUUACAUAAAUUGAAUCAAAUAUAUAUCUUGGCUUUUGAGUACAGGUGUGGCCGCCUCUUGGGAAGAAGAAGUUCGAGACUCUCUCAUACCUGCCCGAUCUUACUCCCGUACAGUUGGCUAAGGAAGUAGAUUACCUUCUUCGCUCUAAAUGGAUUCCUUGCUUGGAAUUCGAAUUAGAGGUGUUUUGGAGCUCUAAAUUAUUCCAUUCCUCCUCUUAAUUUUUUUAGUGGGAUAUUUGAGUUGAUUAAGUGUGUUUUAUAUGUAUGUGCAGGAGGGAUUCGUGCACCGUAAGUACUCGAGCUUACCCACGUACUACGAUGGACGCUACUGGACCAUGUGGAAACUGCCCAUGUUCGGGUGCACCGACUCGGCUCAGGUGUUGAAGGAGCUUGAGGAAUGCAAGAAGGAAUACCCCAAUGCAUUCAUUAGAAUCAUUGGGUUCGACAACGUUCGUCAAGUGCAGUGCAUUAGUUUCAUUGCCUACAAGCCUGAAGGCUACUAAGUUGUUUACUUCCCUCCUAGGAAUUCCAUUUGUUUCAAAGUUGUACUUAAAUUAAGCCCCUCAAGCCCCCCCCCCCUUUUUCUUUUUCUUUUUUAGUUGAGUUAUUUGGCUUGGGGUCUCUCUUUGUUUUGUUUUUGGAUUUCCAAUGGAACGGCUGAGAACUAAUGAAUAAAAAGGUAGUUUCUUGCCAUAUUUCAUGAAUCCAGUUCUUCCUCCAUUUUCAGUGCUAAGAUAUUCAUGUUAAGAUAGGAUAAAAAUUAAAAGAAAAAAAGGUGAUUGGGUGGUCUGGCUUUAAAAUAAGAGGAUAAAGAUUUUGUGGACAAGCAACGCUGUGCUGUUGGAGGCUCAUUAUCUUAGUACAUAGGAAUACACCAAAGAAACCAUUUUUAUUAAAUUGUUUUAUUAUGACAUCACAAGUUUCUAUUAUUAAAAUAACAACUUAAAAAGGCUAAAUUCAAAUA